rnacentral:tRNA from 1 species
NNNCUCAGUUGGUUAGAGUGUGGUGCUAAUAACGCCAAAGUCGAGGGUUCGACCCCCUCUGGAACCA